AUGAUCAGUCACACUGGAACUGAGACACGGUCCAGACUCCUACGGGAGGCAGCAGUGGGGAAUAUUGGACAAUGGGCGAAAGCCUUGAUCCAGYCAUGCCGCGUGUGUGAAGAAGGUCUUCGGAUUGUAAAGCACUUUAAGUUGGGAGGAAGGGCAGUUACCUAAUACGUGAUUGUUUUGACGUUACCGACAGAAUAAGCACCGGCUAACUCUGUGCCAGCAGCCGCGGUAAUACAGAGGGUGCAAGCGUUAAUCGGAAUUACUGGGCGUAAAGCGCGCGUAGGUGGUUUGUUAAGUUGGAUGUGAAAUCCCCGGGCUCAWCCUGGGAACUGCAUUCAAAACUGACUGACUAGAGUAUGGUAGAGGGUGGUGGAAUUUCCUGUGUAGCGGUGAAAUGYGUAGAUAUAGGAAGGAACACCAGUGGCGAAGGCGACCACCUGGACU
rnacentral:rRNA from 1 species